GAUUGGGAAGUGAGUAAAAAAUGGGUUUCUCAGCCUGUCAGGUCCGAAAGGAAGCAGCAGAAGUUUACUUAUUUUUGUACCCGCUUCCCAUUUAAU
rnacentral:SRP_RNA from 1 species